rnacentral:rRNA from 1 species
CACUCCUACGGGAGGCAGCAGUGGGGAAUUUUGGACAAUGGGCGAAAGCCUGAUCCAGCCAUGCCGCGUGCAGGAUGAAGGCCUUCGGGUUGUAAACUGCUUUUGUACGGAACGAAACGGCCUUUUCUAAUAAAGAGGGCUAAUGACGGUACCGUAAGAAUAAGCACCGGCUAACUACGUGCCAGCAGCCGCGGUAAUACGUAGGGUGCAAGCGUUAAUCGGAAUUACUGGGCGUAAGGCGUGCGCAGGCGGUUAUGUAAGACAGUUGUGAAAUCCCCGGGCUCAACCUGGGAACUGCAUCUGUGACUGCAUAGCUAGAGUACGGCAGAGGGGGAUGGAAUUCCGCGUGUAGCAGUGAAAUGCGUAGAUAUGCGGAGGAACACCGAUGGCGAAGGCAAUCCCCUGGACCUGUACUGACGCUCAUGCACGAAAGCGUGGGGAGCAAACAGGAUUAGAAACCCCAGUAGUCCCAUGAU